rnacentral:rRNA from 1 species
CCUGGUUGAUCCUGCCAGUAGUCAUAUGCUUGUCUCAAAGAUUAAGCCAUGCAUGUGUAAGCACACACUGUUUUAAAAGUGAAGCCGCGAAUGGCUCAUUACAACAGCCACAGUUUAUUAGAACUUACAAUCAUGGAUAACUGUGGUAAUUCUAGAGCUAAUACACGCACAAAAACUUCAACUGAAUUGGUUGAAGUGCUUUUAUUAGAACAAAAACCGAACGGCGUUUGGCGAAUGUUGAACGUCGAAACUGUUUGGUGAAUCUGAAUAACUAUUUCUGAUCGCAUGGUCUAGCACCGGCGACAUCACUUUCAAGUGUCUGCCUUAUCAACCUUCGAUGGUAGUCUAUGCGACUACCAUGGUGAUAACGGGUAACGGAGAAUCAGGGUUCGACUCCGGAGAGGGAGCCUGAGAAACGGCUACCACAUCCAAGGAAGGCAGCAGGCGCGCAAAUUACCCACUCCCAGCUUGGGGAGGUAGUGACGAAAAAUAACGAGACGAUUCUCGUUUGAGAAACGUUAUCGAAAUGAGUACGCUUUACACACGCUAACGAGUAGCAAUUGGAGGGCAAGUCUGGUGCCAGCAGCCGCGGUAAUUCCAGCUCCAAUAGCGUAUAUUAAAGUUGCUGCGGUUAAAACGCUCGUAGUUGAAUUGUGGUCUUAGACAACAGUCCCCCUACAUAGGUGUGGCACGGUUGCUCGAGAUCUUCAUUCGUGGUUGCUGUUGUUGCUCUUCAUUGAGUGUCAAUGGUGCCUCGAGAUUUUACUUUGAAAAAAUUAGAGUGCUCAAAGCAGGUUGUGAUGCCUGAAUAAUGGUGCAUGGAAUAAUAGAAUACGAUCUCGGUUCUAUUUUGUUGGUUUUCGAACCGGAGAUAAUGAUUGAAAGGAACAGACGGGGCAUUCGUAUUGCUGCGUUAGAGGUGAAAUUCUUGGAUCGCAGCAAGAUGAACAAUUGCGAAAGCAUUUGCCAAGAAUGUUUUCAUUAAUCAAGAACGAAAGUUAGAGGUUCGAAGGCGAUCAGAUACCGCCCUAGUUCUAACGGUAAACUAUGCCAACCAGCGAUUCGCCGAAGUUCAUUUAAGACUCGGCGAGCAGCUUCCGGAAACCAAAGUGUUUCGGUUCCGGGGGAAGUAUGGUUGCAAAGCUGAAACUUAAAGGAAUUGACGGAAGGGCACCACCAGGAGUGGAGCCUGCGGCUUAAUUUGACUCAACACGGGAAACUCACCCGGCCCCGGACACUGGAAGGAUGACAGAUUGACAGCUCUUUCUUGAUUCAGUGGGUAGUGGUGCAUGGCCGUUCUUAGUUGGUGGAGCGAUUUGUCUGGUUAAUUCCGAUAACGAACGAGACUCUACCCUAUUAAAUAGUGACAGUAUUGUAUUUUUUGUGCUGAUCACUU